rnacentral:rRNA from 1 species
AUUGAACGCUGGCGGCAGGCCUAACACAUGCAAGUCGAACGAUAACAGGAAGAAGCUUGCUUCUUUGCUGACGAGUGGCGGACGUGUGAGUAAUGUCUGGGACACUGCCUGAUGGCGGGGGAUAACUACUGGAAACGGUAGCUAAUACCGCAUAACGUCGCAAGACCAAAGAGGGGGACCUUCGGGCCUCUUGCCAUCGGCUGUGCCCAGAUGGGAUUAGCUAGUAGGUGGGGUAACGGCUCACCUAGGCGACGAUCCCUAGCUGGUCUGAGAGGAUGACCAGCCACACUGGAACUGAGACACGGUCCAGACUCCUACGGGAGGCAGCAGUAGGGAAUAUUGCACAAUGGGCGCAAGCCUGAUGCAGCCAUGCCGCGUGUAUGAAGAAGGCCUUCGGGUUGUAAAGUACUUUCAGCGGGGAGGAAGGGAGUAAAGUUAAUACCUUUGCGCAUUGACGUUACCCGAAGAAGAAGCACCGGCUAACUCCGUG